rnacentral:rRNA from 1 species
GAUCAUGGCUCAGGAUGAACGCUAGCUACAGGCUUAACACAUGCAAGUCGAGGGGCAGCAUUGGAGUAGCAAUACUUCAGAUGGCGACCGGCGCACGGGUGAGUAACACGUAUCCAACCUGCCGCUUACUCGGGGAUAGCCUUUCGAAAGAAAGAUUAAUACCCGAUGGUAUAAAGAGUUCGCAUGUUCUCUUUAUUAAAGAAUUUCGGUAAGCGAUGGGGAUGCGUUCCAUUAGAUAGUUGGCGGGGUAACGGCCCACCAAGUCUACGAUGGAUAGGGGUUCUGAGAGGAAGGUCCCCCACAUUGGAACUGAGACACGGUCCAAACUCCUACGGGAGGCAGCAGUGAGGAAUAUUGGUCAAUGGACGGGAGUCUGAACCAGCCAAGUAGCGUGCAGGAUGACGGCCCUAUGGGUUGUAAACUGCUUUUAUACGGGGAUAAAGUGAGCCACGUGUGGCUUUUUGUAGGUACCGUAUGAAUAAGGACCGGCUAAUUCCGUGCCAGCCGCAGC